rnacentral:rRNA from 1 species
UACGUAGGGUGCAAGCGUUAAUCGGAAUUACUGGGCGUAAAGCGUGCGCAGGCGGUUAUGUAAGACAGGUGUGAAAUCCCCGGGCUUAACCUGGGAACUGCAUUUGUGACUGCAUAGCUAGAGUACGGUAGAGGGGGAUGGAAUUCCGCGUGUAGCAGUGAAAUGCGUAGAUAUUGGGAGGAACACCGGUGGCGAAGGCGGCUACCUGGACCGGUUCUGACGCUGAUGCGCGAAAGCGUGGGUAGCAAACAGG